rnacentral:rRNA from 1 species
AACGCUGGCGGCAUGCCUAACACAUGCAAGUCGAACGAGGACCUUCGGGGUCUAGUGGCGCACGGGUGCGUAACGCGUGGGAAUCUGCCCCUUGGUUCGGAAUAACAGUUAGAAAUGACUGCUAAUACCGGAUGAUGACGAAAGUCCAAAGAUUUAUCGCCGAGGGAUGAGCCCGCGUAGGAUUAGCUAGUUGGUGAGGUAAAGGCUCACCAAGGCGACGAUCCUUAGCUGGUCUGAGAGGGUGAUCAGCCACACUGGGACUGAGACACGGCCCAGACUCCUACGGGAGGCAGCAGUGGGGAAUAUUGGACAAUGGGCGAAAGCCUGAUCCAGCAAUGCCGCGUGAGUGAUGAAGGCCUUAGGGUCGUAAAGCUCUUUUACCAGGGAUGAUAAUGACAGUACCUGGAGAAUGAGCUCCGGCUAACUCCGUG